rnacentral:rRNA from 1 species
CCCUUAGAUGUUCUGGGCCGCACGCGCGCUACACUGAUGCAUUCAGCGAGCCUAGCCUUGACCGAGAGGUCCGGGUAAUCUUUGAAACUGCAUCGUGAUGGGGCUAGAUUAUUGCAAUUAUUAAUCUUCAACGAGGAAUGCCUAGUAAGCGUGAUUCAUCAAAUCGCGUUGAUUACGUCCCUGCCCUUUGUACACACCGCCCGUCGCUCCUACCGAUUGAGUGUGUUGGUGAGGAGUUUGGAUUGGCCUCGGAAGGUGGUUCGCCACCGUCCGUAGCUGAGAAGUUCUCCAAACCGCCCCACUUAGAGGAAGGAGAAGUCGUAACA